rnacentral:rRNA from 1 species
UGGGGAAUAUUGGGCAAUGGGCGAAAGCCUGACCCAGCGACGCCGCGUGAGGGAAGAAGGUUUUCGGAUUGUAAACUCCUGUCGUAAGGGAAGAGGAAGGACUGUACCUUACAAGAAAGCUCCGGCUAACUACGUGCCAGCAGCCGCGGUAAUACGUAGGGAGCGAGCGUUGUCCGGAAUGACUGGGUGUAAAGGGAGCGUAGGCGGGAUGGCAAGUCAGAUGUGAAACCUGAGGGCUCAACCUUCAGACUGCAUUUGAAGCUGCUGUUCUUGAGUGAAGUAGAGGUAAGCGGAAUUCCUGGUGUAGCGGUGAAAUGCGUAGAGAUCAGGAGGAACAUCGGUGGCGAAGGCGGCUUACUGGGCUUUUACUGACGCUGAGGCUCGAAAGCGUGGGGAGCAAACAGGAUUAGAUACCCUGGUAGU